GACGAACGCUGGCGGCGUGCUUAACACAUGCAAGUCGAACGGAAAGGCCCUGCUUUUGUGGUGUGCUCGAGUGGCGAACGGGUGAGUAACACGUGAGUAACCUGCCCUUGACUUUGGGAUAACUUCAGGAAACUGGGGCUAAUACCGGAUAGGAGCUCCUGCUGCAUGGUGGGGGUUGGAAAGUUUCGGCGGUUGGGGAUGGACGCGCGGCUUAUCAGCUUGUUGGUGGGGUAGUGGCUUACCAAGGCUUUGGCGGGUCGCCGGCAUGAGAGGGUGACCGGCCACAUGAGGACUGAGAUACGGCGCAGACUCCUACGGGAGGCAGAGGUGGGGAAUAUUGCACAGUGGGCGGACGCGUGAUGCGGCGGCGCCGGGUGCGGGAAGCCCGCCUGCUGGUUGUAAACCGCUUUCGCUUGUGACGAAGCGGGAGUGACGGUACUGGGUGAAGAAGCACCGGCUAACUACGUG
rnacentral:rRNA from 1 species